rnacentral:rRNA from 1 species
GACGUAGGGCGCGAGCGUUGUCCGGAUUUAUUGGGCGUAAAGAGCUCGUAGGCGGCUUGUCGCGUCGUCCGUGAAAACCCGGGGCUCAACUCCGGGCUUGCGGGCGAUACGGGCAGGCUAGAGUUCGGUAGGGGAGACUGGAAUUCCAGGUGUAGCAGUGAAAUGCGUAGAGAUCUGGAGGAACACCCGUGGCGAAGGCGGCUCUCUGGGACGGUACUGACGCUGAGACGCGAAAGCGUGGGGAGCAAACAGG